ACCAAGGCGACGAUCAGUAGCCGACCUGAGAGGGUGAUCGGCCACACUGGAACUGAGACACGGUCCAGACUCCUACGGGAGGCAGCAGUGGGGAAUUUUGCGCAAUGGACGAAAGUCUGACGCAGCAACGCCGCGUGGGUGAUGAAGGUCUUCGGAUCGUAAAACCCUGUCGUCAGGGACGAAGGUUGCAUGCCUAACAGGUGUGUAACUUGACGGUACCUGGAGAGGAAGCCCCGGCUAACUCUGUGCCAGCAGCCGCGGUAAUACAGAGGGGGCAAGCGUUAUUCGGAAUUAUUGGGCGUAAAGGGCGCGUAGGCGGUGAUUUAAGUGAGAUGUGUAAUCCCUGGGCUUAACCUGGGAACUGCAUCUCAGACUGGAUCGCUAGAGUGCUGGAGAGGGUGGUAGAAUUCCACGUGUAGCGGUGAAAUGCGUAGAGAUGUGGAGGAAUACCAGUGGCGAAGGCGGCCACCUGGACAGUAACUGACGCUGAGGCGCGAAAGUGUGGGUAGCAAACAGGAUUAGAUACCCUGGUAGUCCACGCUGUAAACGAUGAACACUUGUUGUGGUGGGAGUUGACCCCUGCCGUGCCGUAGCUAACGCGAUAAGUGUUCCGCCUGGGGAGUACGGUCGCAAGGCUG
rnacentral:rRNA from 1 species